rnacentral:rRNA from 1 species
ACGACUCUCGGCAACGGAUAUCUCGGCUCUCGCAUCGAUGAAGAACGUAGCGAAAUGCGAUACUUGGUGUGAAUUGCAGAAUCCCGUGAACCAUCGAGUCUUUGAACGCAAGUUGCGCCCGAAGCCACUAGGCCGAAGGCACGUCUGCCUGGGCGUCUCGC